UCCUUUCUCAGCGCCACACCAGACCUCUCGUUGGCUCCACUCACUCGACUCCUCACAUUUCUCUUAGUGUUCUCUCACGCCCGAUUUACAACUCUGUUCUUUCCACACUCCCUUUCCAACCACUCUUCAACACACUCCCUUUCCAAACACUCUCCAUUUACAACAAUGUCUAUAAACAGACACAACAAUGCCAUACACAAUGUCUAACGCAACAAUGGCUAUAAACAAAUACAACAAUGCCAGACACGACAAUGUCAAUAAACAGACAACUAAACUGUUUAUUGACAUUGUUAUGCUGCUCUCACGGCAACACGUCACACUAUGUUUUACUGGUCACUUUUAACUCUUCUCAUAUUAUAACCUGCAUGGACCUCUGCAUCAAUGCCUAUUUGUGUCUUAAGAUUAUUGAGUUAGAAGAUAAGGUCUUUAGUGAAGAAGAUUAGAAAUGAAGGCUGAAGACAAUUUGUUAAUUUGAUCUAAGAGAGAGAAGAAUGGAUUGAAUUAUGUAAGAGGAUUUGCAGUUUUUACACAUAUAGUGUUAUCAAGGCAAUUAAAUCCAAGGAGAGUUUGGACAGGUAUGUAUAAACGAAAGUAAAUAUUUUUGUUGAACCUCCUGGGUAGAGACAAGCCAAACAGUAUGAACUUAAAUUAUAGAAUACAGUAUUAAACAGGAUAUCUAGAGAAGGAAUUUGUGUAGAUGUGAACUGAUUCAGGAUAAUUUCCAUUGGUAGGCUCAAGUGAUAAUGGUGAAGUAACUUCUGGUACCAUAGAACAGUCAAUAGUUACUCAGAUAUGCAGAAAUAUUUACUUAGUUCCCCUGCUAACUGGCAAACUUGAUUGGUCAUUAAUACAGUUUCAGUGUAAUUCCAUUUUAAUGAUUUCUCACAGAGCAUUACGUAAUGAAUAAACAAAUAUGUUCUCCAUGCAAUGCA